rnacentral:rRNA from 1 species
GACGAACGCUGGCGGCAUGCCUAAUACAUGCAAGUCGAGCGAACAGCGAAAGGUGCUUGCACCUUUCAAGUGAGUGGCGAACGGGUGAGUAACACGUGGACAACCUGCCUCAAGGCUGGGGAUAACAUUUGGAAACAGAUGCUAAUACCGAAUAAAACUCAGUGUCGCAUGACACAAAGUUAAAAGGCGCUUUGGCGUCACCUAGAGAUGGAUCCGCGGUGCAUUAGUUAGUUGGUGGGGUAAAGGCCUACCAAGACAAUGAUGCAUAGCCGAGUUGAGAGACUGAUCGGCCAAAUUGGGACUGAGAAACGGCCCAAACUCGUACGGGAGGCUGCAGUAGGGAAUCUUCCACAAUGGGCGAAAGCCUGAUGGAGCAACGCCGCGUGUGUGAUGAAGGCUUUCGGGUCGUAAAGCACUGUUGUAUGGGAAGAACAGCUAGAAUAGGGAAUGAUUUUAGUUUGACGGUACCAUACCAGAAAGGGACGGCUAAAUACGUGCCAGCAGCCGCCGUAA